GUGCUUGCUUUGGCAGCACAUAUACUAAAAUUGGAACAAUACAAACAACAUUAGCAUGGCCCCACACCAGGAUUACAUACAAGUUUCUGAAGCAUUCCAUAUUUUU
ensembl:snRNA U6 U6 spliceosomal RNA